UUCAAACGGGGAAAAUAUGACUAAUUAUAGCAGGAAGGAGUUUGUAUUAAUUGAAGCAGAUCAAUAAAUAUAAAUGUUAUAAACCGUGUUGGUGAAAGGUAACGUUAGUAUAGUUAACGGUAUAUUUCGGUAUUUUUCCAUCUUAGUGUCUGUAUCUGAACUAGGUUAGCAUUAUGGGCUUUUCCAGACGCCGACAUGCAGAUAAAUAAGUGCGUUGAAGCGCUAACGUUACAUUUUAACCAACUUUAUUCACCAGAACACGUUAAAUUGUAUUAAAAGUGUUGGUUUUGUCCAGAUUGUUAAUAUUUAUACAGUUCCGUCACGGUGAGGUUAGCCGGUUAGCUAGUGGUGCUACCCUGAGGGGAGCGGAGGGUCUUUGAUCAUGAAGCUGACCUGCUGUUUGACAGUUGGGUGGACUGUGAAUGGGAAAACCACACUUUUAACCAGACGAGGGAAUGGGAUUUGGAAAAAUGGAGCCAUGUUGGCUCUCUUUUGCACAUAAUGCCGCUGGAGGAGCUAGCAGUUAGCCCGGUUUUGCUGUGUUGUAGAGAUGCGGCCCACCUGUUUGGACAAAUAAACGGCAGGAAGCAUAAUGUGAACUGUUGACUGGAUGAGCUGGCGAUAUUGCACCAUUCAGACUUCAGCGGCGUGUUCACAACGGACGCCAUUAACCGAAUCAGCGACAGAGAGAGCCAGAGAAUGAGAUGCGUAUCAGAACUUAAUAUUAUCAUCCUGGAAUACCACAGUUUGACCUCGUCAGCUGGAGACCAACAGACAUCACUCACUGAUGUAAGUCACACAGGGCAUGUUAUAACUGGGUGGACGUUCAGACGACAGUUAAGGUUAGGUGAGGUUUGGUUUUGCUGGAGGCCAGUUUCCCUCUCACUCUGUGUCCUCUCUCUGCAGACAGACACAUUAAACAAAUGGAUCAAAGCUGAACCAGAAACAGGAGGUUCUGGUUUUGGUGUGCUCUUUCCCCCAAAACAUCUGAAUGUCAGCGAACAUUCAGAGUCAGAAACACCACAGAACCCACAUCUUAAUGGGUUUUUUGUUCAAUGUUAAGUUGUUCAAUGUUUUUUUUUUUUUUUUUUUUUC